UGCAGAGGUCCCAAGCGUUGUUCGGAUUCACUGGGCGUAAAGGGCGCGUAGGCGGGUGCUCAAGUCCGGGGUGAAAUCCUCCAGCUCAACUGGAGAACUGCCUCGGAUACUGGGUGUCUCGAGUGUGGUAGGGGUAUGCGGAACUAUCGGUGGAGCGGUGAAAUGCGUUGAUAUCGAUAGGAACUCCGGUGGCGAAGGCGGCAUACUGGACCACUACUGACGCUGAUGCGCGAAAGCCAGGGGAGCAAACGGG
rnacentral:rRNA from 1 species